rnacentral:rRNA from 1 species
AUUGAACGCUGGCGGCAGGCCUAACACAUGCAAGUCGAGCGGAUGAAGGGAGCUUGCUCCUGGAUUCAGCGGCGGACGGGUGAGUAAUGCCUAGGAAUCUGCCUGGUAGUGGGGGAUAACGUCCGGAAACGGGCGCUAAUACCGCAUACGUCCUGAGGGAGAAAGUGGGGGAUCUUCGGACCUCACGCUAUCAGAUGAGCCUAGGUCGGAUUAGCUAGUUGGUGGGGUAAAGGCCUACCAAGGCGACGAUCCGUAACUGGUCUGAGAGGAUGAUCAGUCAACAGGGAACUGAGAACGGGUCCAGAACCCUCAGGGGGGCAGCAGUGGGGAAUAUUGGAAAAUGGGGGAAAGCCUGAUCCAGCCAUGCCGGGGGUGUGAAGAAGGUUUUGGGAUUGUAAAGCCCUUUAAGUGGGGAGGAAGGGAAGUAAGUUAAAACCUUGCUGUUUGGACGUUACCAAAAGAAGAAGCACCGGCUAACUGCGU